AGCUAGUUGGUAAGGUAACGGCUUACCAAGGCUACGAUGGGUAGGGGUCCUGAGAGGGAGAUCCCCCACACUGGUACUGAGACACGGACCAGACUCCUACGGGAGGCAGCAGUGAGGAAUAUUGGACAAUGGGCGCAAGCCUGAUCCAGCCAUGCCGCGUGCAGGAUGACGGUCCUAUGGAUUGUAAACUGCUUUUAUACGAGAAGAAACACUACUUCGUGAAGUAGCUUGACGGUAUCGUAAGAAUAAGGAUCGGCUAACUCCGUGCCAGCAGCCGCGGUAAUACGGAGGAUCCAAGCGUUAUCCGGAAUCAUUGGGUUUAAAGGGUCCGUAGGCGGUUUAAUAAGUCAGUGGUGAAAGCCCAUCGCUCAACGGUGGAACGGCCAUUGAUACUGUUAGACUUGAAUUAUUAGGAAGUAACUAGAAUAUGUAGUGUAGCGGUGAAAUGCUUAGAGAUUACAUGGAAUACCAAUUGCGAAGGCAGGUUACUACUAAUGGAUUGACGCUG
rnacentral:rRNA from 1 species